rnacentral:snRNA from 1 species
GUGCCUGCUUCGGCAGUACAUAUACUAAAAUUGGAAUGAUAUAGAGAAGAUUAGGAUGGCCCCUGUGCUAGGAUGACACACACAAGGAUUCGUGAAGUGUUCCAUAUUAAA